rnacentral:rRNA from 1 species
AACGAACGCUGGCGGCAUGCCUAACACAUGCAAGUCGAACGAGACCUUCGGGUCUAGUGGCGCACGGGUGCGUAACGCGUGGGAACCUGCCUUUAGGUUCGGAAUAACUCCCCGAAAGGGGUGCUAAUACCGGCUAAUGUCUUCGGACCAAAGAUUUAUCGCCUUUGGAUGGGCCUGCGUUGGAUUAGCUAGUUGGUAGGGUAAAAGCCUACCAAGGCGACGAUCCAUAGCUGGUCUGAGAGGCUGAUCAGCCACACUGGGACUGAGACACGGCCCAGACUCCUACGGGAGGCAGCAGUGGGGAAUAUUGGACAAUGGGCGAAAGCCUGAUCCAGCAAUGCCGCGUGAGUGAUGAAGGCCUGAGGGUUGUAAAGCUCGUUUACCCGGGAUGAUAAUGACAGUACCGGGAGAAUAAGCUCCGGCUAACUCCGUG